UACGUAGGGACCGAGCGUUGUCCGGAUUCAUUGGGCGUAAAGAGCUCGUAGGCGGUCUGUCGCGUCGGAUGUGAAAACCCGGGGCUUAACCCCGGGCCUGCAUUCGAUACGGGCAGACUCGAGUGUGGUAGGGGAGACUGGAACUCCUGGUGUAGCGGUGAAAUGCGCAGAUAUCAGGAAGAACACCGGUGGCGAAGGCGGGUCUCUGGGCCACUACUGACGCUGAGGAGCGAAAGCGUGGGGAGCGAACAGG
rnacentral:rRNA from 1 species